rnacentral:rRNA from 1 species
UACGUAGGGAGCUAGCGUUGUUCGGAAUUACUGGGCGUAAAGCGCACGUAGGCGGCUUUGUAAGUUAGAGGUGAAAGCCCGGGGCUCAACUUCGGAACUGCCUUUAAAACUGCAUCGCUUGAAUCCAGGAGAGGUGAGUGGAAUUCCGAGUGUAGAGGUGAAAUUCGUAGAUAUUCGGAAGAACACCAGUGGCGAAGGCGGCUCACUGGACUGGUAUUGACGCUGAGGUGCGAAAGCGUGGGGAGCAAACAGG